rnacentral:tRNA from 1 species
GGUGACUCAGUGGUAGAGUGAUUGCCUUGCAUGCAUGAGGCCCUGGGUUCAAUUCCUCAGCACCA